rnacentral:rRNA from 1 species
GUUAUUAAGGGCGCACGGUGGAUGCCUUGGCACUAGAAGCCGAUGAAGGACGUUACUAACGACGAUAUGCUUUGGGGAGCUGUAAGUAAGCUUUGAUCCAGAGAUUUCCGAAUGGGGAAACCCAGCAUGAGUUAUGUCAUGUUAUCGAUAUGUGAAUACAUAGCAUAUCAGAAGGCACACCCGGAGAACUGAAACAUCUUAGUACCCGGA